rnacentral:RNase_P_RNA from 1 species
UAAACCCACGACCAGUGCAACAGAGAGCAAACCGCCGAUGGCCCACGUAAGUGGGAUCAGGUAAGGGUGAAAGGGUGCGGUAAGAGCGCACCGCGCGGCUGGUAACAGUCCGUGGCACGGUAAACUCCACCCGGAGCAAGGCCAAAUAGGGGUUCAUAAGGUACGGCCCGUACUGAACCCGGGUAGGCUGCUUGAGCCAGUGAGCGAUUGCUGGCCUAGAUGAAUGACUGUCCACGACAGAACCCGGCUUAUCGGUCAGCUUCACUU